GAAGGGGGAAGGAUGUUGUUCUGCUCCAUUACUUUGAUGCAGCCUCCAAGCAUGAACAAACUUCCUUGAAGGAAUAAAUAGUGGAUGAUUUCUGCUUCACUAAAACCACUUUGUUCUCUGCCAGCCUGGGUUUGAGGAGCAGAGAUAAUUUUGGUCUGCCUAGAUUUAUGGCCUGAUAAGCAAGGGGAGUGUCUGCUGCAAGGAGCAGGGAUCCCCAGGACCAUCCCAGUGACACUGACCAGACUCAUUUGGACAGAGGUCAGGCGGCCUCCUUUUAGUUGCCCUCCCACAGCUUUCCUUAAAACUUCGUCGUUAAGGAGAUUAUACUUUGGGGGAUAAUUGGGUCUGUGACACCUCCUGAGCCAGUGUUAACAGUGUUGGGAGGAGAGAUUUGAACACCGUAUGGGCACUGUUUGCUUGGGAAGAUUUUAAAGCUCAGGAAGGGGGGAUCUUGUGCCUGAUGUUGGAUUUAUGGAUGGAUGCGGAGAGUCAGGUCUCUUCCCUUCAGAAAACUUAUCAGAGAUGCCUUUGUGCAAGCACAAAGUUUGCUUGAGGGAGGCUGUCAUCCCCUUGAAGUACCAAAAACAAGCCAACCUGUUUUCCUUCCACUGCAGAUAAAUGCGGCGACACGAUCAAAAUUCUAAGCCCCGGGUACCUCACCUCCCCCGGCUACCCCCAGUCCUACCACCCCAGCCAGAAGUGCGAGUGGCUGAUCCAGGCCCCGGAGCCCUACCAGCGGAUCAUGAUCAACUUCAAUCCGCACUUCGACCUGGAGGACCGCGACUGCAAGCUCUGGUACUGUAAAAUGAUGCUCAGCAUCAUCAGGAGUGGUUGUCAUGGGCUGUGAAGUGGGACUGCUGGAUUUAGGGAGCGACUGUAUUCAAGCACUUAAUUUUUACCAUGCGUGUCUCUGUUCCUAUCGCUUAAUAAAUAGAUUACUUAGAACAUCAUUAUUGAUUUCCCUUAAAAUGAAGUUCUUUAAUGAUACAUUGUCGCACUUAGUUGCUUUGUUGUUGUUUCUGUAAUCUCUUGUGUAUCAGCAUUUCAGUUCAAGCGAUAAUGCAGGAAAACCCUGUGCUAUAAAACUAAACGGACUCUUUGUUGAAAUGAAUUUUUAUUGUGAUGUUGGAGCUGCAGCUCAUAUUCACACCAUAUGUUCACACGCUCAUUUCCCAUUCUUUAAUUUUUAAUUUGCUGUACUCAGGCCAUGAUUCACUUCCUUGUGUCUUCUUUGUAUGGGUUUUACUUUCUUUCUGUGGAACAGUACUAAUGCUUAAAAAUGAUUGUGUGUGUAUCUCUUUGUCUUUUAGACAGAGAUUGAGAAAUUAAAUCAGGCAUAUUCCAGUGUCAACCCCUUUUUUGUUCCUUGCUAGAAUACAUGUUUUUCCAGUGCUAUAAAACCAACGUGGUCUUUGACAGCAGUAAAGUGGUGCACAGCAUACAAUUAUUUAAGGAACAAGUAAUCUUUGUGGCGAAGUGUUGUGCUAAAUAGUGCCAGACUGAGCUGAACGGGGUCCAGGGAAGAGAUUGACUCCCUCCCUUCAUCGCUCCCUUCUCAAUAUUCAUUGUCCACUUUCGCCCUUGCAUUAUUCCUUCCUCUGAAAGGGGCCCAACACAGUAAUGAGAUGGCAGUGGGUGGGAGGGAGUCUCUGAACAGGGCUGUUUGCAUUGUCUUUGCAGCGUGUGAUGGUGAUGACUUUACUGUCAUUUGGUCUAUGCUGAAAUGCUAAUCUUCUAGGCUAUGAUAAAUUACUCAGCUGCUACUUCACUUAUAUUUAAAAUUGCUCUUUUUAAUUUGAGAAGGAUUGUGUUUGUGCCAAGAACCUUAGGUCCAGAAUAAUACAAAAUGAUUUCAGCAACAGAAAUUUGUCAACAAGCUCUGUGGUUUCACAUUUCACUGUCUGCUUAGAAAAUCCACAUUCCUUUUACCGAAUUCCGAGUGCAAGCGAUGAUUAAUGCAGUGAAACAUAUCAUGAGAUUUUUUUUUGGUUUUGCAACUAAGUACAUUUUGAUUUCCUAAUAUUCUUAGUUUAUUAGCAACUCAGUGUGCCAUCUCAAAAUGUGCAAUUUAGGUUACGCACUGGCUUAUUGAAAGGUUUAGCACUGGAAAUUAAUAAGCACUUAAAUAUGAAAAGCAGAUAGAAAAUGAGAGAUAGGGGAAUUCAUGUCUGGGAACAAAAAUGCCCCGUACAAUUAAAGUGGACUGGAGGAGAAGAUUAACUUUCUGGCCUAGCUCCCAAAAUCCUCUUUAUAAUGCUGUUCCUUGCAUCUUAUACCUCAGUUAGAGUUGGAGAUAACUUCAAUAACAAAAACCCCUGCGCCUGGGAAAGGGAACAGUGUGACUUUGGAAGGGUUACUCUUGUGGUCUGUAGCGUCAGUGGGAAAACCAAGAGGCCUUACCUUACUUGUGAAUAUCACUACGUGUAGAAGACUGGGCGUAUUGAAAUGUAAAACUGGUGAAAGGUCAAUUCUCCGAGGAGAAUCAAAAGCAGCAAGUCUCAGUAUCAGCUAUACCGAAGCUGUUCGCAGUGAGUCUCUUUGAACAUGAGGGUUUGGGAUUCAUUUUGAAAAUAUACUCUUGAUUUACCUAUGGUUAUGCUGUGCUUUAAUGGAUAAGUGUUUCUCAAAUGACUGCUAGUAAAAUUUAUGUGUGUGAUUUUCUGAUGAUCGUUUGAGUUGUUUUAAGCAAACACGGUGAAAAAUCCUGUUUUUCUGGAGGCAGUCCAGAAAACUUCUGAACUUUCACAGUUCUGAAGAAUAAAGAUACACAAAUAAUUAGAAAUAUGUUCACACAAGCUAGGUUCAUCUGACAAAAAACUUUCUAGCCAGAAUUACUGAACCAGCAUAAUGGAAACACUGGGUCUCAACGGGAAGCAUACAAUCAUGUCAACCACAGAUUGUUAUCAAGAGUAUUAGCACAUAAUGAAAAAAUACACAGUCUCUUUUUAACUUUUUACUUUAAUGAGUGUUAUGCCUCCUCUUCGGGAGGCAAAGAAACAGCAAUUACUGUUUACUUUAAGACAGCGCUAGCUUGUUUGCUGUUUUGCCUUUUCUCAAGCAAGCGUGGAUAACAUCCAUGCAUUUUUUUGAGUCAGGAAGAUGGUUAAAAUGAAUAGAAGAGACAAAACAUAUGUCUGAGUAUUAAAAUGCUCCAAUGUUUGUUGCAUGUGUAAAUGCUUUUCAGCACUUGGAGCAAGCUGUAUAUGUCUCAUGUCACUGAAGGAGCCUACUGUGUAAAUGUAGCCAUCUUGAAUCCAGUAAAACUUUAUACCUCGAUAAUAAACAAGAAUGUCACUGAUACAGUAUUUUGAAUUUAUGGAACUUUUCCGGUUUCCCAGCAAUGCACACUAUCAGCAUGAUAAUUUAUAAUGGUUUGUGACAAAUGUUGCUGAGCAAAGAGGUGUGUGGUUACAUUCAGAUCAGAUGUCAUUAUCUGGGGAGCAAUAAAAAUUUCACAGACACUAGGUUAAAAACAUUAAGAAAAUGAAUGUGAAGCUUCAGAAGAAAAGGGCUUAAGAAAGGUGGAGAACAGGGUAGAGAAAGCCCAAAAGUGGUUUUCUUACUGACAAAUUAUUGACUUUGUUGCCAGACUUGACUAUAUUGCUUUACAAGGUCUUCAUAGAUAUUCCAUGCAGUACAGUUGUUUUAUUGGCCAUCAUUUAUAGAUGUAUAGAGAAAUAUCAUCCUUGCUUGACAAUUAUAAAAGGUGUACACAGUGCUGUCAAAUUGGUCUGAACAGAAGAAUUGCCCAUUUUGGAAACAUUUGUGUCCUAGAUGGAAAGAUGUCACAGAUAAUUUUUCUUUAUACUGCUUUAGGUUUAGGUACACUGAUUAGGUACACUGAUGAAAUAAGGGCUGAGUAGAAAUUGCAGUUAGUUAUAGAAUACAGAGAAAAAAAUACCCACCUGUGUUUGUUUAUGUAGAAGAAAGCAGCUCCUGCAGACCCUUGAGUUUGCAAGCAGAAAGGCUGGCCAGACUGAGUGCAACUGUAGCCCUACAAACCUCUAUAGCCCUUAAUGAUGUUGGAAAAUCAUCCAUCCAUUGUAUUUCUAAAUAAUGUCAAUGGAUUUAUGCUGUAAAUCUGUAGGCAUAACAAACUGAGGCUGGUAAAAUAAACAGGAGCAAGGCAAGCCAUGGCUCAGCCUUGCUUUAGUUUCUGCAAAGUUUAAGCUUUCAUUUACUUUUGUUUAAAUCCUGGUUCCUAUUUCUCCACACAGUGACAGGCUGCCUUCGGCAGACUUUGUGGUUUAUGUUUCUCUUGUGCAAAGGCAGUUUGAGCCCCAGGUGGCACUGAGCUGCUUUGGUUAUGCAGUGAUGUCCUGGGAGACCCAGUUAAACCGCAUAUGUUGGAACGGUCCUUUGAACUGCUAAGGCUGCACACAUUACAGCUGCAUUCUGACUGCCCAGAGGUGUGGCUGAGACCUGGCUCCAGGUUUACCAACCGUGAAUUGCUCCCAAAUCUGUGCAAGGGACAUCUCAGCAGUAAUGCAAGAUCUGGACUCCAUACUAUCUUGUUAUCAUUGAAAGCAAGGGGAAUUUUGCCCUCCGCUUUCGCAAAGCUGUAUCUUCUUUUUUUUAUAGCUGUGAGGAAUGGUGGAGCACAGGCCCUGUAUGACUGUUUUAUAACUGUAUCAGUCAUUUUGAUGGCAAACGUCAAUCAGAGCUUCCUAAUUUCAUGUCCUUCAGUUGCUUUUGAACUCAGUAGGCAGUAAGGUGACUGCAGCUGAUUAUGGCAGCUAAGCAGCAGAGAUAGUAAAAGAGCGGAUUAAUUCAGGUUGUGAAAGACAGGAAACAUAUUUCUUAGAAUCAUAGAAUCACAGAGUGGUUUGAGUUAAAAGGGACCUUAAAGAAUGUCAGUUCCAACUCUGUCCAUGGGUAGGGAUGCCCCCCAGCAGCUCAGGUGCCCAAGACCCCAUCCAACCCAGCCUUGAACACCUCCAGGGAUGGGGCACCUAAUUCUCUGGGCAGCAGUGCCUGGGCCUCAACAUCCAUUUCACCAUGACUGAACUCAGUAGAGGAGCCUGAAUGAGUCGAUGCUUCUGAGCUUUCAAUCAGAAAUGUGGUUUUAGCAGCCUGCUCUGCCUGUCUAGGCACCAGUGCCAUUUCUUCUAGCCAUUUGCCUCAGGACCAGGUACCUAAGGCAGACAUGAAUGUCCACUUGCCACCUGCUGGAGGUGGCUGAAGUGAUACCCACUCUUGUGUGUCUUUGAGUGAACCAAAGCACCCAGCCCUUACAUCAUGAGCACCCCACAGGAGGAAGCUGGCAUAUACCUGAUGGCCUCACUGCUGAAACCAGGUUCAAUGUGAUUUCAAGAAGAAUGUGACUAUCAGCACUGUCCUGCAGGAGAAGCUGUACCAGGGCCAAAGAGUCAGUUUCUCCACCCUGGUCUCUCUCAGAAACCUCUCCUUCAACAGGAGCAUCAAGCUGUUUGGGAUUAUUGAGACAUUAUUUGAAAUUAUAAAAGGAAUGGAAGUGAUCAUCGUUCUGGCCACCAAAACAAGAAAAAGGCCUUUUGAGGUAGUUUAGGAUGAGAGUUGUUGCAGUGGACUUUCAACGUCUGUUUCUGGGUGCACUCUUAGAGCAUUUCUCUACUUUAAAUAAAAGCACAUUAAAGGCUUUCUCAGGCAGCGUGCUGUUGAUGACUAUUAUUUGAUACUAUCUGGAAGGCCAACAGUGCCAAGUAAGGGGGUCAGCCCAGGGUCUGCUCAGAUUCAGGAAAGCAAAUAACUCUUGUUUCAGUACAGAUGGGUAUGUUGCAUACAGAUAAUAUUUUUUCUUUACGUAAAAUUUCUGAAUCAUAGUCCUUUCUCCUUGCUACAGGAUUGGGCAUGUAUUUCCAGACAUUUAUCAGAUGCAAGCAUCCAAAGAUAGCUCUAUUAUUUUAUUGUGUUUUAGAGAUUAAAUAAGAGUUUAAAGAAGUUGGAAAUUAAAUUGUUUUUGUGAUUACA